rnacentral:rRNA from 1 species
AGUAACACGUGAGCAACCUGCCCCAAGCUUUGGGAUAACCCUCGGAAACGGGGGCUAAUACCGAAUAUUACUUCUGGCCGCAUGGCUGGUGGUGGAAAGUUUUUCGGCUUGGGAUGGGCUCGCGGCCUAUCAGCUUGUUGGUGGGGUGAUGGCCUACCAAGGCGACGACGGGUAGCCGGCCUGAGAGGGCGACCGGCCACACUGGGACUGAGACACGGCCCAGACUCCUACGGGAGGCAGCAGUGGGGAAUAUUGCACAAUGGGCGGAAGCCUGAUGCAGCGACGCCGCGUGAGGGAUGACGGCCUUCGGGUUGUAAACCUCUUUCAGCAGGGACGAAGCGAGAGUGACGGUACCUGCAGAAGAAGCGCCGGCCAACUACGUGCCAGCAGCCGCGGUAAGACGUAGGGCGCGAGCGUUGUCCGGAUUUAUUGGGCGUAAAGAGCUCGUAGGCGGCUUGUCGCGUCGACCGUGAAAACUUGGGGCUCAACCCCAAGCCUGCGGUCGAUACGGGCAGGCUAGAGUUCGGUAGGGGAGACUGGAAUUCCUGGUGUAGCGGUGAAAUGCGCAGAUAUCAGGAGGAACACCGGUGGCGAAGGCGGGUCUCUGGGCCGAUACUGACGCUGAGGAGCGAAAGCGUGGGGAGCGAACAGGAUUAGAUACCCUGGUAGUCCACGCUGUAAACGUUGGGCGCUAGGUGUGGGGGACCUCUCCGGUUUCCUGUGCCGCAGCUAACGCAUUAAGCGCCCCGCC